GGCAGGCUAGUCCAAACAAGACAAUUGAUUUCGACUCAAUAAACUAUGGUUUAAAUCCAUAGCCUCCCA
rnacentral:tRNA from 1 species